rnacentral:rRNA from 1 species
GUCAUUUAGAGGAAGUAAAAGUCGUAACAAGGUUUCCGUAGGUGAACCUGCGGAAGGAUCAUUAUCGAAAUAAGCACGAACGAGCUGUCGCUGUCCUGUGCACGCUCGCUCGUCCCCUUUAUUUCUCCAUCUAUCUUGUGCAUCGCCUGUGUAGGUCGCGUGUCUGAGGGUCUCCUCGGACGAUUGGGUCUGCUUUUUUUGCAAAAAGGGCUUUCCUUGGAUCUAUGUCUCUUCACAUAUACACAUCUCUGUACGGAAGGAAAUAUAAUAUAUGAAAUUGUUUAUACAACUUUCAGCAACGGAUCUCUUGGCUCUCGCAUCGAUGAAGAACGCAGCGAAAUGCGAUAAGUAAUGUGAAUUGCAGAAUUCAGUGAAUCAUCGAAUCUUUGAACGCAUCUUGCGCUCCUUGGUAUUCUGAGGAGCACGCCUGUUUGAGGGUCAUUUUAAUGUCUCAACUGCAUCCCCUUGGGGCGGGGUGUGGCUUGGAUCUGGGGGAGGCAGGCUCUUGUGGCCUGCUCCCCUGAAAUGCAUGAGCGGUGUCGCAUGGCCUCUGCCUAAGGUGUGAUAAUUCUAUCCGCAUCUGCAUGUCGUGCCGCUGCUGUGUUGGUUGUUAUUUUUUGAACUUGACCUCAAAUCAGGUGGGACCACCCGCUGAACUUAAGCAUAUAU